GCCGAAAUAGCUCAGUUGGGAGAGGGUUAGACUGACGAUCUCAAGGUCCCUGGUUUGAUCCCGGAUUUUGGCA
rnacentral:tRNA from 1 species